GAUGGGGCCUCCCUCUGACCUCCAGCCACCAACUCCUGGCUUCAGAUGAGAACAGGGCAGGAGGGAGUCUCGCCCCCAGGAAAUGUCACAGCGCCAGGACUCUGGGGAAGCUGCCAAGGCUGAGGCCUGGGAAGGGAUUGGAUAGCUACCCCACCCCCAAGCCAUCCCUACUCUGGAGCUUGAUGAGAGCCAGCAUCAGCAUUGACCAGGAAGGGUCAGGGGCCCCAGAUCAAGACAGGAUGGCCUAAUGACCGGGACCAGCAUGGACACACACAAAGGAGCCCACUCCAGAAUCACUUGACAAACACUGCUUGCAGAAGCAUCAGAGCAAAGAGGGCCAGGACAGCACUUCUGCAGCCCCUAAGCAAGAACUUUGGUUCCAAGGUGUCCCAGACAGCUUUAUUCAGCUUCCACAGCCUGCCUAAUAUCCCAAGAGUGUCUCCACCCGUCACCUUGUCACCUUGCCACGCCCACCUCACAGCUCCACGUAGAUUCCCUCUGAGCCAUCGUCUCUUACCUCAGAGCUCACCUGCCUUGUGU